UGGUACACAUUCCCGAUGGAGGGCUGAUA
rnacentral:piRNA from 1 species